rnacentral:rRNA from 1 species
UACGUAGGGUGCAAGCGUUGUCCGGAAUUAUUGGGCGUAAAGAGCUCGUAGGCGGUUUGUUGCGUCGGCUGUGAAAUCCCGAGGCUCAACCUCGGGUCUGCAGUCGAUACGAGCAAACUAGAGUGUUGCAGGGGAGACUGGAAUUCCUGGUGUAGCGGUGAAAUGCGCAGAUAUCAGGAGGAACACCGGUGGCGAAGGCGGGUCUCUGGGCAACAACUGACGCUGAGGAGCGAAAGCGUGGGGAGCGAAAAGG